rfam:Bifidobacterium dentium Bd1, complete genome.
UGCGGCGAUCAGAGCCUAGGUGAAACGCCCGGUUCCAUUCCGAACCCGGAAGCUAAGGCCUAGUACGGCGAUGGUACUGCACUCGGAAGAGUGUGGGAGAGUAGCGCGUCGCCGCGU